ACCUUUGUGCUCGAGGAUCAAUUGAACCUUGAACGCCUGUGCACACACACAGUGUCGCAAUUUGAAGAGGUUUGGAGAACAGCUAGCGGUAACAGCACACAUCUGAAACUUGUAAAGUGCAAUGUUUUAAUUAGAAUAAAUGUCACAUAGCACUAGACACUUAGAUAAGGACACUUAUCGAAACAAUUAGAUGAUAACAAUUCGUCCUCCGAUAAAGCAAAAAGAACACCGCGGAUGGUGCAGUACGGGAAAGUGUUUUACGCAGGAAAAAUAGUUCACGCAGCACACAAACACACUCUCAUGUCCACGGUUCAGAGCACACUGAAGUCGCUCUUUGGCUUGGAUGGAAAAGAGCAAACACCCAGAUGAGUGCGAUGGAAGAAAAUGACUUGUGUUCAACAGGGAUGGGUAGAAUCAAACACACGAAGUGUGCAGGAGAAUUCUCUUCGUGUGGCAAGAGAGAACCCAAGUAGCAACCGAAGCUUUUUUCUCCCAGUUUCAACCCCCUCAUGUCCAAAAACUGCCUUCGCUCUCUAUUCCUAUCCCAUUUCUACAUUCUACAACGUUUGUUGCGUUCUCGCUCAUCAGGGUGUUAGUCAAUUCUCUCUUGCCACACGAAGAGAAUUCUCCUGUACACUUCGUGUGUUUGAUUCUACCCAUCCCUGUUAAACACAAGUCAUUUUCUUCCAUCGCACUCAUCUGGGUGUUUGCUCUUUUCCAUCCAAGCCAAAGAGCGACUUCAGUGUGCUCUGAACCGUGGACAUGAGAGUGUGUUUGUGUGCUGCGUGAACUAUUUUUCCUGCGUAAAACACUUUCCCGUACUGCACCAUCCGCGGUGUUCUUUUUGCUUUAUCGGAGGACGAAUUUUUAUCAUCUAAUUGUUUCGUUUCAGAUGUGUGCUGCUAUCGCUAGCUGUUCUCCAAACCUCUUCAAAUUGCGACACUGUGUGCACAGGAGUUCAAGGUUCAAUUGAUCCUCGAGCAGAAAGCCAAGCAAAAAAAACUCGGUUUUGCUCUUCGUCUGAUUUGGAGAGCUCACGAAGGGGUUUGGGUUCCAUCUCCAACAACACCCACCGGUCACCAGCACUCAGAGAUUCGCUGAGAUUGAAGCUGACUUUGAAGCUGAGUUGGCGAAACGUCUCAGCCUCCGAAGUAACCCGAAGCCGAAGCGAACCCGAACGGGGUUCGGCACGAACCUUCGGUUAAUUAGCCCCCUCCCCCUUUUUUGCCAGGAUUUCUUUCCAAAAUGAUACAGUGCACAGAAUUAUAUCACAACAAUUCUAUUUAUUGAAAUUAAUAACAUUAAUCUAACAUGUUUCACAAAAAUCAAAAACACAUGCACUACGAACACUGGACUGAAUUUCACAUUUACGCACAUUAUUUCAAAACACACUUUCCACACUCACACAGUGAAUAAAAUCACAAAAUCGUCACAACACUUUCUGCUCUUCCUCACUGUUGCGCCUAGUUCCUUUUGCUACAUUGUACGGGCCCAAUACGCCAACACUACGACACAGCCACAGGUUUUGUUGUCUCCGUUCGCCGUGAAACACACAUGAAAUGAAAGAAAAAUGAUAUUAAUUAGAAAAGAGCAUGUCUUUAAAUAAUUUUAAUCACUUUUACUUACCUCAAAUUAAACAAAACUCCAUUUUUCCCGGGGAUUAUUCGCUGACCACCAAUCGCUGAAACACCACAGGAGGACCAACCUCACUGGACUGCCGGUCGGAGCGGAGCCGGCUCCGGAGCCGUCGGAGCGGAGCCGGCUCCGGGAAAAAGUCGGAGCCGGCUCCGGAGCCGUUAGUCCGAAAACUACCUGCGACAGCAGAGGACAGCAGAAAACUACCUGCAUUAGAACAGAGCGUUGGUGUGGCCA